UUUGCCCCACCCCUUCAGACACAAGAUGGUGGCGCCCAGAGGAGUAGGAGGUUGGGUUUGCGGAGACUGACUCCCUCUGGGCGCCACGCACAGCGCCAGGAACGGGACAGGGACCAGGAGACACAGUGUGGAACUGCCUGAUUUGUCCCCUCUGCCUCUAACUCUGCCUGUGCCCGAGACAGCAGGAUGCACUAGGUGGAUCUGGACACCCACUGACCACGUGCCCCCAGCAAUGGCAGUGUCCAGGGAGGAUCUCACUUGAGGCACAUGGGAGCAGAUGCCUUCCAAACCAUCGGGAACCCCUGAAUCUCCUGGAGCUGGCCUCCGGCACAUCAGAAAAACUUUCUUCUCACCUCUGUCCAGACACUUUCACGUUUUUCUUAAGAAAAUCUGGAGAGGAGUUAAGGCUGGUUUUGCAGCACAGUGGAUAAAGCUGCCACUUGCAAAGCCAGCAGCCUACAUCAGAGUCAGGAAACACAGUGUGGAACUGCCAGAUUCGUUCCCUCUGCUUCUGCCCCAACACAGGAGGAUGCACUAGGUGGACCUGGACACCCACUGUCCACCUGCCCGAGCAAUGGCAGUGUCCAGGGGAGGCCUCUCACAUGGACCAGAGUGGGAGCAGGUGUAGAACGUUAUAUGUUUGUUUUUUAUCUGCCCUGCCCACUAAAAUGAGAGAUCUAUGACAUGAAGGGCUCUGUGUGAGUUUUACAAUUAUUCUAUGCCUAGGAGAUUGUGAUACUGUUUGUUGUGAGCCACUGUGUGCAAACAAUGAUGCUACUAUUGGUUCAAUUCGGUGAGAAUUUGCUAUUUCAUUUUGAAUUGAAUGAAGAACUGCUCAAGCAGGGAUUGAAAGCAGACACGAUUUCAAACGUGACCCCCAGGGGGCGCCAGUGCUCCUCAGGUCUGGUAGUGACAGAGGGAUUGGGAGGAAGAGACUCACACCUUGAUAAGACUCUUGAGGAACAGUGGUUUUUGUGCUACUCCGGGUUGAAUUCUUUGUUUAGUGGAGGGAGAAGCUGGUGAUUAUAGAGUGAAAGUAUGUCAGUGUAGACCUUAAAACAAAAUAGAAGAGUAGUGGGUAUGGGAAUGAGGAAGGAGGGAGGACAUGGUGGGAAGUAGCAUUAUGCUCUCACCACUCUGGAUAGGAUGGCCUGGCCUUGUGCACUGAGUGAAGCCCCGGUAUGCAGCGCCAGCAUCCCUCUUGUAGUUGUUCCAAAAGAUGCAACUUGUUCUUCAGGACCCUGAUUCUUGGACUCUUCUGAGCUUAUUACACCUCUGCUCCAGGGCUGCAUCAGCAGUUUUGCUUUCAGGAUCUGAAAUUUUAAAAGGGAAUCCUCAUCAGAACCAGAGCUGGAAUGCACGCUCUCUUAAGCAUGAGUGUGAGCGUUGCCCAUGCAUUGUGUAUUGCUGUAGCAUAUUACCCCAGACGGAAUAACUGCUGCUGGACAGAAAUGUACUUGGCCUCCAGCUCUUGAGGCUCACAUGUCCCAGCUCCUGGGAGCAGCAUUUGGCAAGGAUCUUGGUGGUGCAUCACCCAUGGUGGAAGGCAGAUGGACAGGAAAGCGUGGGAGCUAGCAGACAAGGGGAGUUAGCAGACACAAGAGGUCUUCUCACUUGGGGUGUCACUCAACAGGCUCGACUGAAGUUGCUCAAAGGAGAGUUUACUGAUUUGUGGCAUGUGAAGGAGACGAUGGGAAGGUCCAGUUCCUAGAAGAAGCUGCCUCCCCAGAAGCAGUUUGCCAGGGUUUGUUUUGGGAUUUUUGUCAAUCUCCCCUCUGACGCCAGGUGGCGGUCUAUACCCACCUAAAACAACUCCCUCUUUUCCUGUGGCUGAGAACACCUGGAAGGCCACCGCCAACCCCAUCAACCCCCUUGGUUGAACUGACUCGCCAAGAUGAUAAUUCCAUUGCUCCCAUACCUACUGGCCAUCAUCCAGGUGAGUAGAGGGAAGAAUCAUCACCAGCCAAUUAACCUGACUUGGGAAGAGGAAAGGAGGGAGCCUCAGAGGAGUCACCCUGGCCCCUUCCACCCGACCCUGCAGGACCUUCAAGCCUGGCUGCUCUGAGAAUCACUCUCAGCAGAUGGGUCCCAGGAGGAGCAGCUGGGACAGCCCAGCCUCACACUUCUGCUUUCCUGGGGGUUAUUUUUAGGGCUUGUAUCACUGUGGAAUCAGCACUACUACUAUAACCGCCUAGACAAUAGUAAGUGGCAGCAUCGUCACACUGCACGCUGCUGAUGGUGAGAGUGAACUGUGUCCCAGAUCCACUGC